UACAGAGGGGGCAAGCGUUGUUCGGAAUUACUGGGCGUAAAGGCGCGUAGGCGGCCUGCUAAGUCGAACGUGAAAUCCCUGGGCUCAACCCAGGAACUGCGUCCGAUACUGGUUGGCUUGAAUCCGGGAGAGGGAUGCGGAAUUCCAGGUGUAGCGGUGAAAUGCGCAGAUAUCAGGAAGAACACCAAUGGCGAAAGCAGCUCUCUGGGACGGUACUGACGCUGAGACGCGAAAGCUAGGGGAGCAAACGGG
rnacentral:rRNA from 1 species